UAGCUUUAACUACAUUCAUGGGCUUGGCUUUUGAAGCUUUUUGCUCAUUUACCUGUGUGUAUUCAAGGAUACUCCCUUGAUUACCUAUCACUUUUCGCUUAUUUUUCCUGCUUUGGCUAUUUUCACGCAGGCUUCAUAAGUGAAGCGAGAUCAUAAGAAGAGAGGCGCUCAUUAGGGCUGUUUAUAUCUUAUACCGAAGAUGGUUUAAUCAAUAUAUACGUAUAUAAAUAAGAAUAGACAUGUUCCUUUAAAAUCCCUCUUUUCAGCAAUUAAAUAAUGUAAAAAAUUGAAAAAGUUAAGUGCCUUUUGGAUGCUUUUAACAACUAGGAAAACGUAAUCAAGUCAAACCUUUUUGUUUGUAUCACCAGGAUUAACUUCUAGCAAACUUAACAGUAAUUUUAUGGAUUUAAGUAAUCCACAAAAAAAAUAAUUGAUUUAUUGCCUAAUGAGAAUCUUUAUUUAUAAUUUCAGUUGCUUAUCUUACGUAAUAUACUAAUUUCAUAAAUGUUAACCUGUAAUUGAUAAUUCUUUAAUUUUUUAGGUCAGACGCAAUCGAUUUCUUUGAUUUCUUGAGAUUUAUCAAAGAAGUUGCUGCAUGUAAAGAUAUGUCAAUUGGUGACAUAAUUCAUAAACUAACGUCGUGUGGACUACCUGGAUUUAAAUUCGCAGCACAAUUUGUUGAUUGCGGAGCAAGGCCUACAGAACACCAUUAUCUCGUAAUGGAUAAUCCUGUAAAGUCAAAGAAAGACAGCAAAAAAAA